CCCUUAGAUGUUCUGGGCCGCACACGCGCUACACUGAAGGAGGCAGCGUGUACUCCUGGAUCGAAAGAUUUGGGUAACCCGCGAAUCUCCUUCGUGCUAGGGAUUGAGGUUUGCAAUUAUCCUUCAUGAACGAGGAAUUCCCAGUAAGUGCAAGUCAUAAGCUUGCGCUGACUACGUCCCUGCCCUUUGUACACACCGCCCGUCGCUACUACCGAUUGAAUGGUCCGGUGAAGCGUUCGGACCGCUUCCUUUGGACGGGCAACCGUCUGUUGGUCGUGGGAAGUUCGUUAAACCUUAUCAUUUAGAGGAAGGAGAAGUCGUAACA
rnacentral:rRNA from 1 species